rnacentral:rRNA from 1 species
GCCAGCGGAGGCACGCGUUGUUCGGAAUCAUUGGGCUUAAAGCGCGCGUAGGCGGCCUUGUAAGUGUCUUGUGAAAUCCCACGGCUCACCCGUGGAACUGCAGGGCAAACUGCAAGACUUGAGGUCGGUAGAGGCGCCUGGAACUCUAGGUGGAGCGGUGAAAUGCGUAGAUAUCUAGGGGAACGCCGGAGGCGAAAGCGGGGCGCUGGGCCGAUUCUGACGCUGAUGCGCGAAAGCGUGGGGAGCAAACAGG